rnacentral:lncRNA from 1 species
CAAAACCAAUGUAAAAAAAUAUACAUAGCAAGAAGUAUUCAUAUUUUCAGCUACAAUUACUAAUAAAAAUUUCAGGGUUUAUUUUAUUGAUAUGAGAAUAGUCUUAAAAAAAAUUACUUUCUAACAGAGCUGGUGUUUGUCCUUGCAGUGAGACCCUACUGUCACUACUUUCCAUAUAGUUUGGCUAUGCUCCGGGAGCAUACCUGGAAAAAUCCUUCAUUUAGGAUAUCCGGAGCAUACCUGGAAAAAUCCUUCAUUUAGGAUAUUGGGCCUAUGGAUUUAAAUGAUGGCCAGUAUAACUUGCACAUCAUUUCUAAAUUCAAUGUAAUUUUUUCCCCCUGAACAACAGAACUAGCAAAAGCCAACUUCUGGGUUAGCUUCAUUGGAGAAGGUAUUACUACAAUGAAUAAUUGGAGCAUGAUGUCAUUUUGGGCACAGGUAAUUUAUUCCAAUCCUAUAAUGCUUAGAGUUGUGUCGGCACAAUUAUUCAUCGUCCUUGAUGAACUAUAAUCAGUUUCUGGUGGUAAAGGGCAUCUGCUAAUGCAAAGGACCAAGUACCAGUAAUAAUUGAGAUAGCACAGUAUCUCUGGCUCAUGUAAUAGCACAAUAUCCAAUGCCAAUAAGAAGCUCAACUCAGAAAAUCCUACAACUGGUUGCAUUCCCCGGAGUGAUGCUUAAAAAUUAAGGACCGAAAUUGGUUCAAUCAUGCAACUUCAUCAAUUCAAUCUGUUGGCACUAAUGGUCAUCUGCAAAAUUUCUGUUGGGUGAACUUUGUGAGGAUUUAGACAGAUUAAUCAUGGAAAUUGCACUACAUAAUCAGACCAUCUUUCAGGUGUUCCGAUGAAGAAUCUACUGAAG